GACGAACGCUGGCGGCGUGCUUAAUACAUGCAAGUCGAACGGAAAGGCCCUGCUCUUGCGGGGUGCACGAGUGGCGAACGGGGGAGUAACACGCGAGUAACCUGUCCCUGACUUUGGGAUAAAUUCAGGAAACUGGGGCUAAUAUCGGAUAGGAGCUCCUGCUGCAUGGUGGGGGUUGGAAAGUUUCGGCGGUUGGGGAUGGACUCGCGGCUUAUCAGCUUGUUGGUGGGGUAGUGGCUUACCAAGGCUUUGACGGGUAGCCGGCCUGAGAGGGUGACCGGCCACAUUGGGACUGAGGUACGGCCCAGACUCCUACGGGACGCAGCAGUGGGAAGUAUUGCGCAAUGGGCGGGAGCGUGAUGCAGCGGCGCCGCGUGCGGAAUAACGGCCUUCGAGUUGUGAACAGCUUUCGCAUGUAACGUGGCGUGAGUGACGGUACUGGAUAAAGAAGCAACGGCUAACUACGUG
rnacentral:rRNA from 1 species